rnacentral:lncRNA from 1 species
GAGUUAGUUGUCCAUACCUACUGCUGGCUGCAGCACUUAAGAGAGCAGCCCUGCACUGUGUCUGGGCAAUAAAUAGAGUAGGGCUCAUCUUAGUUGAAGGGAUGUGAGUUAGGCAGCCACAAGGGUGAGAAGACUACACAACACUGUCUAUUAUGAUGAAAGCUUGCCAACCAAGAGGAAUGUGCUGGAAUUGUGCCUAAACUACUGAUGAACACAUCUAAAAUCAAUUACAGCUUUGAGAUGCUGUAUGCAUGUUUGUACAACUAAAAGAAUAUGAUCUAAUCUGGAAAAUCCUUCACUGUCAUUCCCAGAGGCUUGAAUCCUAGAUGAUUCUACAUCCGACCAACUUGGUGAAAAUGCUUCAACCGAAGUCAUGGGAGGGAAGAACCUAUGUAGAAAGGAACGAAGACUUUCCUUUGCCCCUUUGAUCUACUAGGUUCAUCCCUACCCGAGAAUUUGGUUGAAGCACCGAACUCUGAAGACACUGUGAUCUCAUUGAUUCAGCUUCUGGACACCUAACACUUCAGCUGAAUUACAGAGGUUACAAAGGCACACCGAAGGAAAAGGGAAGCCUCUCUCAUCAAUCUGUGUUACAGUCACCUUGGGAAGAAGAGGCAGAAGCACUCACUCAGCACUUACAGGUAAAAAGAAAGUAAGAUUCAGAGGACGGAGAAAAAAGCUAUAAAACACCUUGUCGUGGACAUAGCAUGGCUGAGGAACCUUUGAACUCACU